GCAAUCCUCCCAACGUAGCCUCCUGAGUAGCUGGGACUGCAGCCAGUUCUGUCUUCUCCACUUGAUUGUGUGUUUGCAGUGAGUUCCUGAGUUACCGGGAUGAAUGGUCAGGAAGCAGUAGUGUGCCCACCAAUGGAUGUUGCCUGCCAUUGGGCCCCUCAGCAGUGACUUGUGUGCAACCCAGGGUGAUUUUUACAACUUGUAAACAAGUUUAAAGCAACUUUGUUGGCUUUCUAAGCUGUUUGCUUUGAAAAGAUUAAAUUCAUUUUCAGCAA